AGUGAACGCUGGCGGUAGGCCUAACACAUGCACGUCGAACGGCAGCACAGUAAGAGCUUGCUCUUACGGGUGGCGAGUGGCGGACGGGUGAGGAAUACAUCGGAAUCUACUUUUUCGUGGGGGAUAACGUAGGGAAACUUACGCUAAUACCUCAUACGACCUACGGGUGAAAGCAGGGGAUCUUCGGACCUUUCGCGAUUGAAUGAGCCGAUGUCGGAUUAGCUAGUUGGCGGGGUAAAGGCCCACCAAGGCGACGAUCCGUAGCUGGUCUGAGAGGAUGAUCAGCCACACUGGAACUGAGACACGGUCCAGACUCCUACGGGAGGCAGCAGUGGGGAAUAUUGGACAAAGGGCGCAAGCCUGAUCCAGCCAUACCGCGUGGGUGAAGAAGGCCUUCGGGUUGUAAAGCCCUUUUGUUGGGAAAGAAAAGCAGCAGGUUAAUACCCCGCUGUUCUGACGGUACCCAAAGAAUAAGCACCGGCUAACUUCGUG
rnacentral:rRNA from 1 species